rnacentral:rRNA from 1 species
AUUGAACGCUGGCGGCAUGCCUUACACAUGCAAGUCGAACGGCAGCACGGGAGCAAUCCUGGUGGCGAGUGGCGAACGGGUGAGUAAAGUAUCGGAACGUGCCCAGUCGUGGGGGAUAACGUAGCGAAAGUUACGCUAAUACCGCAUACGAUCUACGGAUGAAAGCGGGGGAUCGCAAGACCUCGCGAGACCGGAGCGGCUGAUAUCAGAUAAGGGAGUAGGGGGGGGAAAGGCUCACCAAGCCGACGAUCUGUGGCUGGUCGGAGAGGAGGACCAGCCACACUGGGACUGAGACACGGCCCAGACCCCUACGGGAGGCAGCAGUGGGGAAUUUUGGACAAUGGGCGCAAGCCUGAUCCAGCCAUGCCGCGUGCAGGAUGAAGGCCUUCGGGUUGUAAACUGCUUUUGUACGGAACGAAAAGGUUUGACUUAAUACGUUGGACUCAUGACGGUACCGUAAGAAUAAGCAUCUACUAACUACGUGCCAGCCGCCGCGGUAA